CAAUCUAUUUUCCUUAUUAAUUAUGAUAGACCUGUGAUAAAUGUAGCACGGUGUUAAAUACGACAAACUGUACAAUAUAUAAGCAUUCAUCUCUUAAUAAUCAACCACUCACAAAUAAUGAUUAUUAUUUCAUCUUGCAGCUGUAACAUAUGCAGAUAUGAUUAUAGGAUAUAGUUAUAGGAUAUAAAUGAUAUUCUCUGUCAUGUGUUCCGUAAUAUUAAUAAAUGACAGGUUUGGUGAAUGCUACACACACACACACACACACACACACACACACACACACACACACACACACACACACAAUAAUAAUAAUAAUAAUAAUAAUAAUAAUAAUAAUAAUAAUAAUAAUAAUAACGCCAUGAUUAGUGUGGUUUGGUGUGGUUUAAUAUCGGAUCUAACAUGAAUUUCAUCACGUCAUUUCUUUAGUUGAACAAAUGUUUGCUAGUAACCCGGGUAGCAUCACAUUAAUGUAUACAAGAACAAGAAGACAAGGGUUAAAAUAUAGAAUAAUAUUGUAUUGUAUAGUUUGUAUAGUUGUUGUGUGUACUGAGUUGAUCACUGCUCCAAGUGCACAGUUUAAAUCAAGGGCACAGCUGCUGUGAUAAACAUGUCUUAAAUUUUCCAUGAUGUCAUUUUUAAGGGGAAAAGAGUUUAGAGCUUAAAGGCUUCUGUUAAGACACAUUCAAUCCCUUAUACCUAACUUAUAUUUAUAUUCACUUUUACAGUCGUUGACAGGGACUUUUAUCCAGAGUGACUUGCCACUGGAGAGCUAUAAAACACAACAAUACCAAAAAAAGGUUUCGUUACAUAUUGAUAUCAUAUAUUCCAAUGAAAAAAGGACAUGGGCCAAGGCGACAAGAGUUCCCCAAGACUGAGGGCAAUUAAAAAUAUUCAUAUUUUUAUUUACAAAAUGGUUUUCAUGAGAGUGAUUUUUUGGGUGUACGUAUUAAAUAAACAGUGCAGUUAUUGUUUGCCUUAUCUUAUAGCAGCAUGUGGGAUGGUGAACUCUGAAAUGGAGGUGAACUAUGAUCAGCUGAUCACCACUUUUGUGUGUGUGUGUGUGUGUGUGUGUGUGUGUGUGUGUGUGUGUGUGGCUCCUGCUAAAUGCUGUGCAUAACCAAAACUGAAAGUAGUGGUUGAGUCCAUUAGCCGUCUUUAGGGACAGUCUCAAGGAAACGAGGAGCACAAACAACCACAACGAUUCUGAAAGGCUCGUUAUCAGUCUUCCUCCAGAAUGCUUCAAGGAACAAAAACACGCCUUUUCUCAAUCAAUGAAAGUAGGAAAUUCUUGGAUGUCCAAAGUAAGAUUGAGGAACGGUUGAAGAAACGCGUUCAGCUCCAUCAAGUGGAUUCAGAGGAUUGUUGUGAUGUCAUCAUGGCUUUUGUACCCAUUGUGUCCCGGGUUGGAAAAGACAUUGCAGCUGCUCUUCGAAAUAUUCCAACAAAUCGGCCUGUCAUCCUCGUGGCGCUCCACCACACGUUUGAUGAAAAUUACAUUGCACCACAGAGCAAAAGGUGUGUGAAUAGGGAUGGUGUAUUUGCUGUAGACUUCCUCUGUCAUGAAGAUAAGGGACUGCUGGAAUGCUUGACCAAUGAGGAGGCACUGAAAUCCGUCAGUGAUUAUCUGGUCUCUAUGGACCCCAGUACCCCGCUUAUACCAGUUCAUCCACGGCCAUCCCAAAGAUGCUGAUGUUUGGGUGUCUCUGCUUUUGUUGUUGUUAUUGUGCUAUUUAUUUAAUUAAUUCAGAAAAGUCACGGACAUGGUGACACUCAAACUACGGUGAUACCUCCUAUAACUGUAGCUACACAUUAGUCUAACAGAACUGAAACUACACAUCAGUCUAACAUAACUGAAACUACACAUCAGUCUAACAUAACUGUAACUACACAUCAGCGUAACAUAACUGUAGCUACACAUCAGUCUAAGAUAACUGUAACUACACAUCAGUCUAACAUAACUGUAACUACACAUCAGUCUAAGAUAACUGUAGCUACACAGCAGCGUAAGAAACGAUCCCUUCAGAGAGGCCAAGGCUAAUUCAUUAGUUUGUGGUGAACACCCAAGACUGUUGUGUUCGUGACGAAAAGAUGGAGAUGAAACGAGAGUUUAGGAUAUCAGCUUUUAUUUCCUGGUGUUUACAUCUAGACGUGUUAAACAUAAAACAUACAACCUUUUGUAUCAGACCACCCACUUUUUAGGUGAGCAAAAGUAUAGGAACAGAUACGUCUUGAAGUAAAUGAAAGUAAAUAACACUUAACAUUCGGCUGCGUGUCCCUUGCUUGCAAAAACUCAUCAAACUGCAUCAAUCCUGUGACUCACUGACACUUGUGUUGCUUUUCCAGGUUUCUCCUGCAGUUUCUUUCAGUAGUCGUGUGUUUCGGGGGUUUCUCCCUUCAGUCUCCUCUUCAGGAGGUGAAAUGAUCAGUUGGGUGAAGGUCUGGUGAUGGACUUGUCCAGUCUAAAACCUUCCACUUUCCCCCUGAUGAAGUCCUGUGUUGAGGUGGAAGUGUGUUUUGGAUCGUUGUCUUGCUGCAUGAUGAAGUUCCUCUGAUUCAUUCGGAUGGAUUUCUCUGUAAAUCUGCAGACAGAAUGUUCCUGUAGACUUCUGAAUUCAUUCUGCUGCUCCAUCAUGAGUUCAUAAUCAAUAAAGAUCAGUGAGAAUGUUCCAGAAGCAGCCGUGCAAGCCCAAGCCAUGACACUACCUCCACCAUGUUCCACAGAUCAGCUUGUAUGUUCUGGAUCGUGAGCAGAUCCUUUCUUUCUCCACACUUUGGACUUUCCAUCACUUUGGUAGAGGUUCGUCUUGUUCCAGAACUUUUGUGGAUCAUCUCUGUAUUUCUUUGCCAAUUCCAAUUUGACUUUCUGACUCGUACUGCUGAUGACUGGUUUGCAUCUUGUGGUACGGCCUCGAUAUUUCUGCUCUCGAAGACUUCUUCAAACGGUGGCUUGUGAUGCCUUCAAUUCUGCCCUGUGGAGCUUGUUGGUGAUGUCACUGACAGUUGUUGUUGGGUUUUUCUUCACAGCUCUCUGUCAUCACCUGCUGUUGUUUUCCUUGACUGACCUGUUCGGUGUCUGUUCCUCAGUACACCAGCGGUUUCUUUCAUUUUCAUGACAUUCCAAAUUGUUGUAUUGGCUUUACCCAGUGUUUCUGCAAAGGCUUUGAUUGAUUUUCCCUCUUUCCCAGCUUCAAAAUGGCUCGCUUUUCUCCCCUAGACAGCUCUCCGAUCUUCAUGUUGGCUUAUCCUUUAUAACAACAUAUGCAGUCUUCACAGGUGAAACUGAAGAGUAGAUGUUCAGAGCUAUUUAUUGUUUAAACAGUCGAUCUAACAGGACACGCCUGGGGAACAAGAAACACCCGUCAGUCACGUGUUCCAAUGUUUUUGCUCCCUUACAAAUUGGGUGGUCUGAUACAAACUGUGCUGUUCUGUAUCUAUAUAUAAAUACCAGGAAAUAAAAGCUGAAAUUCUAAACUCUCUUCUCAUAUUCCUCUUUUAAUCUCAAAACCAAAUGUCUUCACUCUACAGUGAAAACAAUUUAAUUGGCCUUGCCGUCCCAAUAUUUUUGCAGGGGGACUGUAACUGUGACUAUAUAGCAGCUUAAUAUAAUGGUAAUAAACAUUAACUUAACAUACUGGCGAAUAAACAGCAGCCUAAUAUAACUCUAAUUAUACAGCAGCCUGACAUAAUGGCAACGAAAUAGCAACGUAAUCUAACUAUAACUGCACAACAAACAUAAAAUAAACACUAAUCUUUCUUCUAAAUACUUUUUAAAAUUUCAUCAAUUCUUUUGAAUCAGCUUCAUUUUCAUUACAGUUAGAACUUUUCCUUUCAAACCUUAUGAGUAUUUUGACAUCAAUCAUUCUGCAAUCAUCCUAACAUAUACUUUAUAUACAUAUAAAGGAUUCUUUGAUUAAUAAAGGUUUCAUGUAGAACCUUACAACAGAGAUUUUCUGUUUCUGAGAGGGUUCUAGGUUGAACCACUGUUAGGGUGUAGUAAAUGAAGAAUUGCUUACGCAAAACUAGUAUGACUUGAUAUUACCUUGUAAUUGUUCAUAAGUUUAAGAUUACCUCCACUAUAUUUAAUGUUACUCCACUAUAUUUUGUAGUUUCUAUAUUUAAUGCUUAUUAAAUGCACAGAACAUUAAAAUCGGAAACGAAGUCUGACAAGAAUGUAACAGAAUAUAACAAGACUGAAUCUGUGUGUAAAGACUUCAUGAAUGUUUGUUUCUAAUCAAUAAAAUUCUCAUACGCUUA